GCCACCUGCUGGAAUGUGGAUGCGGGAAAUGUGAAGCUAAGUGAAAGACGCCGGACACACACAGAAGGACACACAGAGUCCCAGCUGAGAACCUAAGCGGGUGGAGGAAAAAAGGUCCUCCCCUGCAAGGUCAGGACACCUCAGUAAAAAGAGUUCUAUGAAGGAGCAAAGCAUUCCGUGAAGUGGUUUAAGACUACAGGAGGAUGAUGGAGAGGCGGCGGAGUCUUGCUCCAGCUGUUGGCAGAGACACGGUGCAGGAGAUGGAGCCAGUAGGUCAGGGAGGCCCGGGCAUCUUUCUGCUCUUCGUUUUCAGAGGGGGAAAUAGCAUGUGUGUUGGCCCAUGGUGAGAUGCCUGAGAGCGGGGAAACCAAGGCAGGAAGGGGUCUUUCCUGGCGACGAGAGAUGCUGACAUCCCUGCAGUCUCUGGCUGCAGAACUUCAACUCCUGAGAAAGCACAAAAGUCUCUGGCAAUGGGAACGGUGCCAACCUUCUCAUCUGGCAGAAACCCCUGCCUACAGCAGCAUCACCACCCGACACUCACGUUGGAAUGACUGGAAGGAAGCCCGGUGCCCUGAAGGCGGCGGCGUGAGGACCUCAGACCUCAGAGCCCUGGGGAGAGACCGCGUAGAGAUUCUGGGGUGAGGGUCCGGCCAGUGACUGGCUCCAGAACCUUCUGCUCAGGAGAGCACAUCUGCCUGUCUUUACGGUCCCGGGGUGACGGCUGUCCUGUGACCUCAGUUCUCCAGCAGACCCAAGGGAGGCUGUUGGUUCAGCGCCCGGCUCUGUGCCCUGCUGUAGGACGAUGACUUGCAAGCACCUGACAUGCCCACGGGCACACCGGAGGCCUGUGACAAAUGUCACUGGGGGCGGGGGGCACCGUCACAGGGAAAUGUUGGAGAUUCAUUCAUUCAACUUAUAAGCUUCCCCCCAAAUCGUACUUAUGUUACCUAUGGAAGUGCAGGGUCUAUAGCUCGCAUUUCUCAACACGGAAGCUGCCUUUCCGCGUAGAAUGUCCUUCUUAGCUCUCACCCAACCAGACGCCAUUCAUAAGUAACCAGCCAUUUCGUAGAGUCUGUUAAAUAGAAAUAUCUAUUUCAAGUUCGUUGGAAACGUUUGGACUUGCCCUAGGACUUGCCAGGGAAGCUGCUCGGAGCACUCUGCUC